GGCCAGUUAGCUCAGUCAGUUGAGCGUGGUGCUGAUAACACCAAGGUCACAGGUUCAAUCCCCGUUCAGUCCC
rnacentral:tRNA from 1 species